rnacentral:rRNA from 1 species
GUGUAGUUAAGCGAUUUUUCCCUACCAGAUUCGGAGGUGCAACCCAGAAAAAUAUAGGGUUGUAGCACAGCCGCCGCAUCCUAGUACAAAGGCGAGAGGGAUUUAUAACGCUAGGUGAACGCAGCUCCGCCAAAUUACUUAAGAGACGGGCGAAGCCGAUUCCCAGCAUAACCAUCAGGCUAAGUUGAAUGACGCUGGAAUAGCAUGCCCACAGAAUAUAAUGGCGCAACUGGCGUUCAAAGAUUCGAUGAUUCACGAAUUUGCAAUUCACAUUACUUAUCGCAUUUAGUGCGUCUCAUCGAGCCAGAACCCAGAGAUCCGUUGUGAAAGUUUAAACUAUUUCAGUAUAAAUUUCGAGAUACAGUAGUAUAGCAGAGUUUAGUGUCCACCGGCCCUGUUUUUGCAGCACAGCGCCGAGGCAAACAGUGGUAAGUUCACAUAGGGUGGAGUUUAGAACUCAGUAAUGAUCCCUUUCCGUAGGUGAACCUGCGGAGGGAUCAUUACUGAGUUCUAAACUCCAACCCUAUGUGAACUUACCACUGUUGCCUCGGCGCUGUGCCUGCGAGAGCAGGCCCGCCGGUGGACCACUAAACUCUGCUAUACCUACUGUAUCUCUGAAUUUAUAACUGAAAUACGUUAAAACUUUCAACAACGGAUCUCUUGGUUCUGGCAUCGAUGAAGAACGCAGCGAAAUGCGAUAAGUAAUGUGAAUUGCAGAAUUCAGUGAAUCAUCGAAUCUUUGAACGCACAUUGCGCCCAUUAGUAUUCUAGUGGGCAUGCCUAUUCGAGCGUCAUUUCAACCCUUAAGCCCCUGUUGCUUAGUGUUGGGAAUCUGCGUUACGGCGCAGUUCCUUAAAGUGAUUUGGCGGAGCUAGUGCAUACUCUAGGCGUAGUAAAUACCAUUCUCGCUUUUGUAGUAGGCCUGGCGGCUUGCCGUAAAACCCCUAUAUUUCUAGUGGUGACCUCGGAUUAGGUAGAUACCCAUAUCC